AUGAUUUGACAAUGAAAUGAGACAGCUGAUACUAGCUUACCUUUCCGUGUUUAGUCACGACGGCCACACCCACCAAUCGCCGACUUUGGAUCAUCGACUCUUGGAAGACUUGAUGAUUCAUAACUCAGCAGGAUACAUCACUACGGAGCAUGUACAUACAAGAUUCGAACUCGAGAUGCAGUGCAUGGACAAAUUAUGGUAGGUAAGGUUGGAAAUGCAACGUAUCUGAACCUGCACUGACGAUCGGUGGGUGGAUGCUGUGUGAGACUGGGUCGAGUUAGGAACAAGCAAGUACU
rnacentral:lncRNA from 1 species